rnacentral:rRNA from 1 species
UACAGAGGGUGCAAGCGUUUAAUCGGAAUUACUGGGCGUAAAGCGUGCGUAGACGGUUACAUAAGUCAGAUGUGAAAGCCCCGGGCUCAACCUGGGAAUUGCAUUUGAGACUGUGUAGCUAGGGUGCGGAAGAGGGAAGCGGAAUUUCCGGUGUAGCGGUGAAAUGCGUAGAUAUCGGAAGGAACACCAGUGGCGAAAGCGGCUUCCUGGUCCAGCACCGACGUUCAGGCACGAAAGCGUGGGGAGCAAACAGG